AUUUAUGCGUUUGAAUGUAUUGAGACCGUUUCGUUUAGGUGCGUCUGAUUCGGAAAGUGCUUUUGAUCGUUCAUUGAUUUGAACGUGUUUUUUUUGGGAAGACUCAUGCGGAUUAAGGUGAAAAUCAAUUGCGUUUGGAACAAUUGGUUUAUUUAUUUAUUUUGUUGGUGCGUGAGAGGAGGAGAACAAUUAGGUAAAUUUGUACCUUGGCCGUCGUUAAAGUAGGCCAGGUUGAAGUAUUGGCGGUGAGCGAUUGUUUGACAAGUGUAGGUCUGCACUGCGCGUCAAGAUUGAUUGAUUUGAUAAAGUAUUCGAUAAAAUUAUCAGAGCUUUACGAGUGCCUGUUAGUUGUAAUGUUUGUUAUUUUAGUUUGUUAUUUUUGUGCUAUCCUGGGCAGAGGGCACCGUCGUGGAAGCCUUCUUUAACGGCAUUUUGUCGGGGAAUUUAAGGCUCCGCUGAUAUAGUGUAAUAAAAAUCUCUGUCCUUGGGAUAUGCAUGAAGAGGAUCGCUAUUUUUUCUUUCUUUUUACAGGGCAGCUCUGUUUUGUCUCGUCUGAUGCGCAGUGUGGUAGCCACAUUUGCAUUGGGAAAAGCUUUCCAGGUACCGGGAUUUGCGGGAGCUCUUGGUAUGCGGGAGGGUGAUUGGAGCUGCUGGAGAGUAGAGUGGUUUUUGGCCCGUGGACAAAAGGGUUCCUGUGUCCAGUCCAUGUGAAUGGGCUGUCAACAUACCGAAACGAAAGUUAAGUGCUCAUUUUGAGUUUAUAGAAAUCAUUU